rnacentral:rRNA from 1 species
CAAUAGCGUAUAUUAAAGUUGUUGCAGUUAAAAAGCUCGUAGUUGGACCUUGGACCUGGACAGGCGGUCCGCCUCACGGCGUGUACUGUCUUGCUGGGUCUUUCCUCUUGGUGAUCUGUUGUUUCGGCAGCAGGGAACCGGGACUUUUACUUUGAAAAAAUUAGAGUGUUCAAAGCAGGCUCGACGCCGGAAUAUAUUAGCAUGGAAUAAUAAAAUAGGACGUGCGGUUCUAUUUUGUUGGUUUUUGGAAUCGCCGUAAUGAUUAAUAGGGACAGUCGGGGGCAUUAGUACUCACAUGCUAGAGGUGAAAUUCUUGGAUUUUGUGAAGACUAACUUCUGCGAAAGCAUUUGCCAAGGAUGUUUUCAUUAA